rnacentral:piRNA from 1 species
UGCUCCAAUAAUUUCAACUAU